rnacentral:lncRNA from 1 species
UUUUCAUUGAGGGACUUUGUUCACAACCACCCCGUUGGAAGAACUUACCAGACUGGGAAUGGGAUAUAUUCUCUUGCUUUAACCUGGGCCCUCAAGAAACUCUGGCUGAGAAGUGGACAACACACUCUGAGUACAAUCCAUCUCUGAGUAUGCAUCUUGUGGCAGUGUCCAGAAGAGUCAUCACCAG